rnacentral:rRNA from 1 species
GCAUAACGUCGCAAGACCAAAGAGGGGGACCUUCGGGCCUCUUGCCAUCGGAUGUGCCCAGAUGGGAUUAGCUAGUAGGUGGGGUAACGGCUCACCUAGGCGACGAUCCCUAGCUGGUCUGAGAGGAUGACCAGCCACACUGGAACUGAGACACGGUCCAGACUCCUACGGGAGGCAGCAGUGGGGAAUAUUGCACAAUGGGCGCAAGCCUGAUGCAGCCAUGCCGCGUGUAUGAAGAAGGCCUUCGGGUUGUAAAGUACUUUCAGCGGGGAGGAAG